GGGAGCCUGAGAAACGGCUACCACAUCCAAGGAUGGCAGCAGGCGCGCAAAUUACCCAAUCCCGACACGGGGAGGUAGUGACAAUAAAUAACAAUACGGGGUUCUUUAGGAUCUCGUAAUUGGAAUGAGUACAAUUUAAAUCUCUUAACGAGGAACAAUUGGAGGGCAAGUCUGGUGCCAGCAGCCGCGGUAAUUCCAGCUCCAAUAGCGUAUAUUAAAGUUGUUGCAGUUAAAAAGCUCGUAGUUGAAUUUCGGGGUUAGUAGGUUGGUCAUGCCUCUGGUAUGUACUGGUCUCACUGAUUCCUCCUUCCUUAUGAACCGUAAUGCCAUUAAUUUGGUGUUGCGGGGAAUUUGGACUGUUACUUUGAAAAAAUUAGAGUGUUUAAAGCAAGCUAACGCUUGAAUACAUUAGCAUGGAAUAAUGAAAUAGGACGUUCGAUCUUAUUUUGUUGGUUUCUAGGAUUGACGUAAUGAUUAAUAGGGAUAGUUGGGGGCAUUAGUAUUCAAUUGUCAGAGGUGAAAUUCUUGGAUUUAUUGAAGACUAACUACUGCGAAAGCAUUUGCCAAGGAUGUUUUCAUUAAUCAAGAACGAAAGUUAGGGGAUCGAAGACGAUCAGAUACCGUCGUAGUCUUAACCAUAAACUAUGCCGACUAGGGAUCGGAUGAUGUUAAUUUUUUAAUGACUCAUUCGGCGCCUUACGGGAAA
rnacentral:rRNA from 1 species